GUUGACCCACUGGCAGCAUGGCACCAGUUUGCAACUUCAACUGUAGAGAGCUGAAGUGUGGGCUUGUUAGUGGUGGAUCCGUACAGGUCUGAAGCAACUUGAUUCUUGCCUCCUUGAAGGAAAGAAUUUGUCUAAGGGGCAUAAGGCAGAGUGAGAGACCAAGGCCAUUUUUACUUUCUGCAGAAAGAGUACACUUGCCGGCAGUUUUGCUACAAGAGUACAGCGAACAAAGGGGACAGGGUAAUUUAUAACCUGACGCGUUCACCCUACUGCUGUGUCCGGUUUCCAUUGGCUGGAACGGGACCUCACAUUCUGUAUUUGUCCCAAUUGGAUAGCAACUUAGAACUUUCUAAAAGAGGCAAAGGCAGAGGAGAACAAAGGAAGGAGGAAGUAACUUGUGGAAUGCUGAGAAAGGGAGUUGGUCUCUCAGUCCAUGGGCAAUUUCGAGUGGCUACAGAAAAGUGUCUUUUUGCUAUGCCAGAAACUGCAAUAGAGUUACUUGUCGAUUUCAACAAAAAAGCCUGCAGAUGAA
rnacentral:lncRNA from 1 species